CCAACCUUGUUACAACGCUGAUUAUUGAACGGAAAUUUAGUGUUUCCAAGUCCCUGUUAAUAAUUCACUUCCCAUUAUAUUUGAUUUCUUUCUCAAACAAAUCAAAGCAGGGGUAAUCUAUCAUUUGCAACCAAUAGAAAAUAAUUAAAACAUCAGAUUUAUCAAGAAGUCCUACCACCUUUUGAAUCCUAAACACUCAACACCUUAUCAAGACCUAACCCUAGAUCCCAUAAU
rnacentral:lncRNA from 1 species